CACGUUUUCCUUGUACCUGUUAAACGAGACUGCCAGGUAUCACAUGUUUAAAUAUCAGACUAUUUCUAGAACCAUCGGAUUUCCUGGCUCCAUUCCACUUUUAUGCUUCUUCUUGGAGGCAGCUUCACCUCCACUCACAUUCCGGAGAUAAGCAUGAACUUUGGUAAUACGAUGAAGACAUGCUUCUUUCUUCUUCCAUGCCCAGAUUUUUUCUUAAUCCAAAAUAAGUUUUAAAGUGAUUGGGGGAGGUGAGGGGGAAUACUAAUGAUUUAAAUUUUUACCAAAACCCAUUUACAUUUGGAUGGUUUCACUUUCCACAAAGAAAAGCAACAACCCUGACUCUCCCAAAAAAACAAAACAAAACAAAAUAACAAAAAUAAAGCCAAACAUUAACUACCUCCCCAGCUCCACUGAAAACAAAACCAAAAACAAAACAAAUCAAAGCCUUAAGGAUUUAUCAACCUGGAGAGAGUGCAGCCCUUCUAGACUGAGCUGCAAAGAUGGCCCUGCCUCCAUGCCUUGUUGAACAUGAUGAUGCCCCUGGGAAUGGGAGGUGAUGGUUUUUUACUUCGGCCCUAGUACAGAGUAUGCUCUUGAAGCUGGAUUCCAUCAGCAGGUUUUGGAAAUCACUAGUGGGUAAAAAAGACCAAUUUGCAACUAGGCUCUCAUGCUCUGUUGAAAACUAUGUCACAAUAUCACAAUACUAGAUGCUGGGCUCAAGACAGCAAACAGAAAGCAGCAAGGGCAGUGACUGGAAGCUGGGAGAGAGGGUCAACAGCUGAAUCUCAGCCUGAUGGAGGCCAC
rnacentral:lncRNA from 1 species